AAAACCGCUUGCUAUUUUAGUUUAUACUGUAGUAAUAGGCACGCAGGUAAAGAUGAGGUCUCACAUUCUCGAACGGGAAGCCCAUACUGAAAUUGGGCUUUGGGUUAGAUAGAGGAGGGAGAAGGGCUAUUUGGGUUUUUCUGGGCAGUGGUUUCUUUUCUUCUGGUCGACAUUGAUUGAGUUGAGUAGUGUGGCUACGCUUCAGAAGGCAUACAAGAGUGGCAAUUAUGAUCCAGAGACUUUGAAGGGAACACGUUGAUUGGUCAAAUCCUAGGAGAGAUUGGCAAUUGGGCUUCUUUAUACCAUCUGGAUCUUUCUGAUAACUUGCUUUGUGGAGACAUUCCCUUCUCUCUAUCUAAGUUGAAGCAACUUGAUGCCUUGUGAGUGACUGUUUUUUUAGUUUCAUUCACUGUGCUUCAAUGGGAUUUUUGUGAUUUUUAUGGCUGCUCGGGAUGAGUUACGAAUGUUUUUCUUGUUUUUCCAUUGGAUUGUGGCAUGGUUUGGGCAACAUCUGAGGAUGGAAACCGUAUGUUCUCUUUUGUUCCAUCAGAUCUUGAGCUAUUAUGAAAAGACCAUUGCAUGGUUUUCCAUCAGAUCUUGGGCUAUUAUGAAAAUUCCAGAAAGAGAUUUGUGUUCAUGGAAUGUUUGAUAAAAUGUAUGAGAGAGACAACAUUUCUUGGACUUCAAUGAUUUCUUAGAGAGACAACUCCUAAUGAGGCUUUGGAGUUUUUUAGAAGGAUGACGAGACGUGAGAAUUCCGAUCAUUCCACUGUUGGUGUAUUUGUUUACGUGGCUGCGCUGCUAUUUUAAAAAAAAAUUAUUUAUUUUUUUUAUUUUAAAUUAUUAUUUUUAAGGUA